rfam:Triticum aestivum genome assembly, contig: Triticum_aestivum_CS42_TGACv1_scaffold_160292_2DL
AUACCUUUCUCGGCUUUUUGGCUAAGAUCAAGUGUAGUAUCUGUUCUUAUCAGUUUAAUAUCUGAUAUAUGGGCUACAUGCCCACAACGAUAUUAAAUUUAUUUUUUAUGGGGAAGGAGCCACCACAAUAGCUUGCUAUUGGGCCUUUUGCGUGUCGCCUAGGCGUUGCACUACUGCCUAGGCCGGCGCACCCCAA